GUCAAAUCUAUCGCAAGGAAAGAAACAGUUGCCAAAGAUGGUCACGGCUCACACUCUCGUCUUUUGGACGAGACGGAUAGGAUCCAGCGAUUGCAGUUCUAAGCACAACGAUUCAUGGGUCUGUACUCUGAAGGGUUUCGCUACGAAACAAGUAAUAUGGUAGAAUCAACUGGAUAGUACUCAUUAGGACAAGAAAACUUUCAUAUUAGCUUUUCAGGGCUAAGAGAGUCAAACAAGUUUUUCUACAACUCUCUCUCAUCUGCACAUAUCGUGAAAAACAGUGGGUGUUGACCUUGACUUUUAGUGGCAGAGUGUUUAUACAAGCUUUCCACCAUUGGCGCCCAGCAAUCUUAGGACAACACAGGGAGAAUCCAGCUAUAAAAGGAGUGUUUCUCGCUGCUUGUCACUCUCCUCUCAACAAAAAAAAAAAAAAAGCCUACUCUUCUUUGGAGUCGGUUAGGCUUCAAUAACAAUGCUUUCUUUUGCUUUACCCUAACUUUGUAUUAAUUAAUUAUCCUGUUAAUUGAUACAGCUCUCAUGGGUUGGAAACUUUCAGUCAUCUUUUUAGCCUUUUUGUUGUAUUAUAUGCAUUAUUGGUUAUGGGAGA